rnacentral:rRNA from 1 species
AUUGAACGCUGGCGGCAUGCUUUACACAUGCAAGUCGAACGGCAGCGCGGGCUUCGGCCUGGCGGCGAGUGGCGAACGGGUGAGUAAUGCAUCGGAACGUGCCCAGUAGUGGGGGAUAGCCCGGCGAAAGCCGGAUUAAUACCGCAUACGACCUGAGGGUGAAAGCGGGGGACCGAAAGGCCUCGCGCUAUUGGAGCGGCCGAUGUCGGAUUAGCUAGUUGGUGGGGUAAAGGCUUACCAAGGCGACGAUCCGUAGCUGGUCUGAGAGGACGACCAGCCACAGUGGGACUGAGACACGGCCCAGACUCCGACGGGAGGCAGCAGUGGGGAAUUUUGGACAAUGGGGGCAACCGUGAUCCAGCCAUGCCGCGUGCGGGAAGAAGGCCUUCGGGUUGUAAACCGCUUUUGUUCGGGAAGAAAUCCUCUGGGCUAAUACCCCGGGGGGAUGACGGUACCGGAAGAAUAAGCACCGGCUAACUACGUG